UUUAACUGAGCGUUCAGUUACUUGACGUAGACCCGAAACCGGGCGACCUACCCAUGAGCAGGAUGAAGCGAAAGUAAAAUUUCGUGGAGGUCCGAACCCACGAGCGUUGAAAAGCUCGGGGAUGACGUGUGGGUAGCGGUGAAAUUCCAAUCGAGCCCGGAGAUAGCUGGUUCUCCCCGAAAUAGCUUUAGGGCUAGCCUCAAGGUGAGAGAUACGGAGGUAGAGCACUGAAUGUCCUAGGGGGUAUUGCACCUACCGAAGACUAUCAAACUCCGAAUGCCGUCAUCUUAUACUUGGGAGUCAGACUGUGGGUGAUAAGAUUCAUAGUCGAAAGGGCAACAGCCCAGAUCGUCAGCUAAGGUCCCUAAAUGUAAGUUAAGUGGUAAAGGAUGUGGGAUUGCACAGACAACCAGGAUGUUGGCUUAGAAGCAGCCACUCAUUCAAAGAGUGCGUAAUAGCUCACUGGUCGAGUGAUCCUGCGCCGAAGAUUUCCGGGGCUAAAACUUACUACCGAAGCUACGGCAUCAGUAAUGAUGGGUAGGGGAGCUUCCCAUACGGGUUGAAGCAUGACCGUAAGGACAUG
rnacentral:rRNA from 1 species